rnacentral:miRNA from 1 species
UCUUCGACAGUAUGGCCAAAGCU